rnacentral:rRNA from 1 species
UACGUAGGGGGCAAGCGUUGUCCGGAUUUAUUGGGCGUAAAGAGCGUGUAGGCGGCCAUACAGGUCAGCUGUGAAAACUCGAGGCUCAACCUCGAGACGUCGGUUGAAACCGUAUGGCUAGAGUCCGGAAGAGGAGAGUGGAAUUCCCGGUGUAGCGGUGAAAUGCGCAGAUAUCAGGAGGAACACCGGUGGCGAAGGCGGGUCUCUGGGCAAUAACUGACGCUGAGGAGCGAAAGCGUGGGGAGCGAACAGG